UAGCCGGGCGGUGAGUGGAGUGAACUAUUCUUUCGUCUUUUACUAAAGAAUACCGUGUGCGUACCGCAUGAAGUGGCAUGUGCCAAUUUUUUCAAGGGAUUUCUCCCACAAAAGAAGC